rnacentral:rRNA from 1 species
UACGAAGGGUGCUAGCGUUGUUCGGAAUCACUGGGCGUAAAGCGCGCGUAGGCGGCUUUUCAAGUCAGGGGUGAAAUCCCACGGCUCAACCGUGGAAUUGCCUCUGAAACUGGGAAGCUGGAGUAUUGGAGGGGAUAGCGGAAUUGCUAAUGUAGAGGUGAAAUUCGUAGAUAUUAGCAGGAACACCGGUGGCGAAGGCGGCUAUCUGGACAAUUACUGACGCUGAAGUGCGAAAGCGUGGGGAUCAAAC